rnacentral:rRNA from 1 species
GAUGAACGCUAGCGGCAGGCUUAACACAUGCAAGUCGAGGGGCAGCAUAAUGGAUAGCAAUAUCUAUGGUGGCGACCGGCGAACGGGUGCGUAACGCGUAUGCAACCUACCUUUAACAGGGGGAUAACACUGAGAAAUUGGUACUAAUACCCCAUAAUAUCAUAGAAGGCAUCUUUUAUGGUUGAAAAUUCCGAUGGUUAGAGAUGGGCAUGCGUUGUAUUAGCUAGUUGGUGGGGUAACGGCUCGCCAAGGCGACGAUACAUAUGGUGACUGAGAGGUUAAUCCGUCACACUGGUACUGGGACACGGACCAGACGCGUACGGAUGGCAGCAGUAAGGAAUAUUAGUCAAUGUACACAAAUCUGAACCAGCCAUGUCGUGUUCAGGAUGACGGUUCUAUGAGUUGUAAACUGCUUUUGUACGUGGGUAAACGCAGAUACGUUUAUCUAUCUGAAAGUAUCGUACGAAUAAGGAUCGGCUAACUCCGU